rnacentral:rRNA from 1 species
UACGAGGGGGGCGAGCGUUUGUUCGGAAUUAUUGGGCGUAAAGGGUGCGUAGGCGGUUUGGUAAGUCACCUGUGAAAUCUCCUGGCUCAACUGGGAGCUUGCAGGCGAAACUGCCGUGCUGGAGUGUGGGAGAGGUGGCGUGGAAUUCCUGGAUGUAGCGGUGAAUGACGUAGAUAUCAGGAGGAACACCUGUGGCGAAAGCGGCGCACUGGACCACAACUGACGCUGGAGGCGCGAAAGCUAGGGGAGCGAACAGG